rnacentral:rRNA from 1 species
UACGGAGGGAGCGAGCGUUGUCCGAAGUUACUGGGCGUAAAGCGCGCGUAGGCGGGUAAUUAAGUGGGAAGUGAAAGGCUGGGGCUUAACCCCAUGCAGUGCUCCUCAUACUGGUUUUCUUGAGGGUGGUAGAGAGAAGUGGAAUGGCUGGUGUAGCGGUGAAAUGCGUAGAUAUCAGUCGGAACACCAGUGGCGAAGGCGGCUUCUUGGGCCAUUACUGACGCUGAGGCGCGAAAGCCAGGGGAGCGAACGGG